ACACACACACACACACACAGAGGAGGACAGUCUUUCCAGGCUUGGCGACCCCCAGCAGCAAGGAGGAAGAAGCCGGGAGAUUACAGAAGUGUCGACUAGAGGAGAAGAGGAGGAUCAAGGCCCGGAAAGAUUCUUUGGACCCCGAUGUUCAGUAACCAUUCCUAAUGUCUAAGCAGAGCAGCCAGCUACAGCAGAAAACAUCACCUUCACCUGGACAGUGUCAAGUUCAUUGAUUUAAUCAGAAAUGAGGUCCUAGUGAGAGAUGGGGAAUGACAAACAUCAAAUGAACUUUAGAAAGCUCCAAGCAAUCCUCUGGGCUCAGUGUCAUUUAGGCAGUCAAACAAAAUGGAUCUUCCAGAGAUGUGGGGAAAAAGAAGCUUACUCUCCGAAGUUGGAAAGAGAAUCGAAGACCCUAUUUGUGGCUGCAAGAGAGGAAGGGAGCCCAGCAAGGAAACUACCAGCAGAUGAAGCUGAUCCCAGUCUCUCUAGGGCUAUGUCAACAUAAGUCAAGCUCUGGGAGAUCCCACCAAGCUGGAAAGGUGUCAAGUAAGGCCCUGCUGACAAAUCGUGCAUCUGUCAUCCAAGGACCAACCUAGCUAAGUCUGGAGAGCUUCAUCACCUGGAGGCUGGAUACCAGGUGAUAACUUAAUUUGUUCAUAACUACUCCUCAAGACCCUCUUUUGAUAGAGGUAGCAAGGAGAGAUUGUAAUCUCCAUCAGUGGAGGGCAGAGCCACAAGGAGGAAAUCAUAGAUCUUUGUAGUAUUAGAAGUAGAAAGAUGAUAAGUUUACAAAAACUACCACAGUUGUUUCAGAAUGAUGUGUUGUACAGAGUUUUCUUGAGUGAAUUAUUUUGAACAAUGCAUCAAUGAACAGACUUUGGGUUACUCCAUUCCUGUGCUCCAAAUUAUGUUAUCUAGUUAAUGUCAUUGGGGACAUUUAAAGCCUUAAUUAUUACAGCU